ACGGAGGGGGCAAGCGUUACUCGGAAUUAUUGGGCGUAAAGGGCGCGUAGGCGGUCUCGUGCGUCGAGGGUGAAAUCCCCGGGCUUAACCCGGGAACUGCCUUCGAUACGGCCGGACUUGAGUUCGGGAGAGGGGAGCAGAAUUCCCAGUGUAGCGGUGAAAUGCGUAGAUAUUGGGAGGAAUACCAGUGGCGAAGGCGGCUCCCUGGACCGGUACUGACGCUGAGGCGCGAAAGCGUGGGUAGCAAACAG
rnacentral:rRNA from 1 species